GACACGCGGCAGUUACUUUUUAAUGACUGAAGUAAUUAAUCAUCUAGAAAUCACUGGAUAGAUAAAUAAAAAUUGUUUUUGUAUUUGAUUUAUUUCUGAGUCAUACGUGUGAUCACAGCCACAGCAACAAGAAGGUUGUUUUGAUUUCGACACGGAAGGCCGAUUUUUAAUUAUUGACGAAAAAAAAUUUUAAUUUUUAAUAGUUUUUUCGUUUGUACCGUCGCUGUAUGGUGUUUUUUUAACGUGUUUAGUGAAGUAGAGUGCAAAAAUAAACAAUAUAGUGAAGUGAACCAGUGAAAAAAGAACGAUGAGCUUCGCAGAUGCUGCUCCUGAUGGAGCAGCAUCUAAAAUGACAAGGCCCCCUAACCUUGAAACUGGGAAUGAGUCAGCACUACGAGGAGAUGACUCUACCCAAGCAACAUUUUAAACUCCUGAUGGUUUUAUAGGGAAAUAUGGAAGUUUUAUAACGAGAUUGCAAAAGCCUUAAUAGCCGUGAAGCGUAUUUCAACAAGACCAUUACAAAAACUAUCUUCAGAGUAUCUACACGACGUUUAUAAAACCUGUUUUGAAAACCUCAAUCAAUUUCAAGAAUAUCUUUAUUUUCCGUGUAUAUAGCGGGUUUGGAGGCCGCUAUAAAGCAAUUUCAAAACCUCGCUAUAAAACCCUGUCAAAAUGUCAUAAAACGUCAAGUGCCAACAGCUGCUCGGAAAACAAAUAAGAAGAAGAGAAAAAAAAAACAAAACCGACGAGAAAUUUGCGUACGAUUUCUGCAAUCAGAAGGUAAUAGCCGGAAAUAUGCCCUGCCUGGCCCAGUCGUCCACAAUUCGGCGCAAUCGCAUCGUUCAGGCCGUUGUACUGAUGCGGAGAUUGCAGGUUCAAGUCCUGUCGCUGAGCCGAGUCCGGAUGUUUAUUGAUUUGCCGGUACCGGAUGGUUUUUCUCACCAGCAACAGAUCCAGAAAAGUCCAACUGUGCCGUCGCAUUAGCCGUUGGAAUUGCUGCGAAGCUGUGGCGGAAUGUGGCCAGGAAAACACCCGGAAAACAAUCUGGGCCGUUGUUCCGGAGCUGCUAUAUGAAACCAGAAUGACGACGAAUGACUAUUUCCCAAACAAGUACAGGGAAUUCGACAGCUGGAGCCGGAUUAAAAGGUAGUGUAAUAUAAAUUGAGUUUUAAAUAAAUAGUGAAUCGCA